CACCUUUCACCUUAAACCUGUGCCCUUUCGGGACAAAUAUUGUACAGGUAGCAGUUGUAGGAGAUCACCUCAGACUUUUGCCGGUAAUGCAAAAAUUAUAAUUUGUAAGGUCAAUCAAGAAGUUA